UAGCGGAGGAAAAGAAACCAACAGGGAUUGCCUCAGUAACGGCGAGUGAAGCGGCAAUAGCUCAAAUUUGAAAUCUGGCUCUUUCAGAGUCCGAGUUGUAAUUUGUAGAGGAUGCUUCGGCUUACGUUUCGGUCUAAGUUCCUUGGAACAGGACGUCACAGAGGGUGAGAAUCCCGUUUGUGGCCGAGACUUCUGCCAUGUGAAGCUCCUUCGACGAGUCGAGUUGUUUGGGAAUGCAGCUCUAAAUGGGAGGUAUAUUUCUUCUAAAGCUAAAUACCGGCCAGAGACCGAUAGCGCACAAGUAGAGUGAUCGAAAGAUGAAAAGCACUUUGGAAAGAGAGUUAAAAAGUACGUGAAAUUGUUGAAAGGGAAGCGCUUGCGACCAGACUUGCCUGCGGAUGCUCAACCUGUCCUUCGACUGGUGCACUCUUCCGCAGUCAGGCCAGCAUCAGUUCGAGCGGUCGGAUAAAGGCCUUGGGAAUGUGGCUCUCUUCGGGGAGUGUUAUAGCCCUUGGUGUAAUACGGCCCGCCUGGACUGAGGCCCGCGCUUCGGCUAGGAUGCUGGCGUAAUGGUCGUAAGCGGCCCGUCUUGAAACACGGACCAAGGAGUCUAACAUCUAUGCGAGUGUUUGGGUGUCAAACCCGUGCGCGAAAUGAAAGUGAACGGAGGUGGGAACCCUUUGGGUGCACCAUCGACCGAUCCUGAUGUCUUCGGAUGGAUUUGAGUAAGAGCAUAGCUGUUGGGACCCGAAAGAUGGUGAACUAUGCCUGAAUAGGGUGAAGCCAGAGGAAACUCUGGUGGAGGCUCGCAGCGGUUCUGACGUGCAAAUCGAUCGUCAAAUUUGGGUAUAGGGGCGAAAGACUAAUCGA
rnacentral:rRNA from 1 species